rnacentral:tRNA from 1 species
GCCCGAAUGGCGGAAUCGGUAGACGCGCUCGACUCAAAAUCGAGUACCUCAGGUGUGUGGGUUCGAGUCCCACUUCGGGCACC